GGAUAAAUGUCCAAAGAUUGUAAAUAUUAACAAUACUGUAAAGAAAAAUAUAUUAUAAUAUUAGGAUAUUUUCUCUCUUUAACAAGAUAAUGUAUAAUUAUACUUGCACGUUGUAUAUCAACAACACUCAAGUCAGAUAUAAUAAUUUAGAUAGUUCGAAGAUAAGAAAUAAUGUAAUUUUAAGAAAUUAUUACGUAUACGACACCUUAGGAUAAAAAUGAAAUAUCUCAAUUUACUCAUGUAACACGAAUUGAAUUUUAAAUGCAUGAUUAUGAUUGGUGUCUAAUUAUUUUAGGUAAAAUACACUUGCGGUUUUAUGAUAGAUAACGAUAGUCGAUAAUUAUCAUUUAAAACAAAUGUAAUUGUAUGUGUUGUCGUAAUAAUUUUGUGGGUUUCAUGAUAUCAGCGGCAUUAUUAUUAGCCGUUCGUCACCCUGUUGCGACGUAUAUCCUGAUAGGACUCUACACACUCUUAGAUCUGUCGGGCUGGCUCUUCCCACUCAUCGUGUAAAAUCUUACCAUGUUCAUAAUAAAAGAAAACAGAGGACAAAAUUAUAAACCUGGUGUGUACAUGUAGAGGAGUCUUAAGAAAGAUAACGACCAUAAAAAACGGUAUGUGUUUAUUUUGAUCAUUAGGGCGACCGGGGCUUAUGCGACGACUCCUUUGCAAUGAUGGGACCAAUUCGCGUACACGGACAUUUUGAUCACCUAAUUUGCUCAGUUCACAUUAAAAACGCUUUAAGAGUCGGUAUUCAUCUGUAGAGUUACCAACAUUAUCACGCGUUUAAUAAUCAAUCAAAUUUAUCAAAAUAAACGCUUAACUUAUCAUAAAUGCUACAUAUUGCAUUCUCAUCUCGUGUUAAAGAUGAUAUUCAUCUACUAAAACAAACAUAAAUUAUUCUGUAUGAUAUUUUUUUCCAACUUAUAAUAUUUUAUAUACUUAGAUGCAAUUUAAAUUUUAAUAUAAAUUUAUUAAUUUACACAAAUUAUUAAUUUAUUAUAUAACUUAAAAUUAUUUAUAUAUAGAUAUAUUUACGACAAUUUUAAAACAUGAUAAAAUUCAUGAUAUAUCAUACCUUCAAUACAUAUCGAUUUGUUUAAUAAAAUGUUUCUUUACCUAAAAUCAUUUAUUCGAAAUACAAAUUGUCAAAGAUAUAUUUAAAUUACUCGUAUAUGGAAGUAUUCAGUCGUUUGGAAUUUUCGCUCUGUAAGUUUUUGAGUUUUGGAAAGUUCCAUUUAAUUGACUGAAACAAUUUCCAAACUACCUACCUAUAUAGUUUUAUUUAAAAAAAAAACGCGUUGAAAUAUCUAUAUAUUAUUAUCAUUAACAUAUUUACUUACUCUUUAAAUGUGAUCAAUGUACCAUGUCAUUCACUAACCUUUCAAACCCCUUUAGUAAUUUUCACCAAAAAAUACAUUACUUUAAACUUUUCUAAAAAAAAAUUUUCUUAAAAAUCUAAAUCACAACUAAUACGUUACGAAAUAAGCAUGUCGUGGUACAAUGAAACAAGACAGAACUUAUCUAAGUUCUUUAUAUGAAUCCUUUGUUUGGAUCAUAUUAUUAUUAUAUUGUUAGAUUUAAAAAGUUAUUUAUGUUAAGAAUUGUUUUUCUUUAUGGAAGAUACCGUAAUUACGCUUCUAAUUGUAUAAAUAAAAUUUAUAACCCAACUGUACGAGAAAAUGAUUUUUAACACGAAGAGAAGAACAUGGCGUGUCAUUUCAUUUUUUUUAUAACUUGUCACUCUAUAAAUGAAAUCAAUUCUGUAGGUACAUUAAAUAUUCAAAGACUUUGGGCAGAAAGCCUCCUUUUUAUGUAAUUUUAAAUGUUAAAUAAAUGUUGAAUAACAUAUCAAAAA
rnacentral:misc_RNA from 1 species